rnacentral:pre_miRNA from 1 species
AAAGUACUCCCUCCAUCCCAAAAUUCUUGUCUUACAUUUGUCUAGAUACGGAUGUAUCUAGUCACAUUUAAUAUUAGAUACAUCCGUAUCUAGACAAAUCUAAGACAAGAAAUUUGGGACAGAGGGAGUAGUUG